rnacentral:lncRNA from 1 species
GUGAGGCUAUGGAGGACUGAGAAAAGUGGUUCCCUCAGGAAGUGGUUGCUGUGGUGGGAGAAGAGCCAGACGGUGAGGGAGGAAGCCAGGGGGCUGCGAGGGGAUGGGGCAGCAGGAAUUUGCCACUGGGAGGGAAAGGAUAGUUUGCCAUCUCUUCUAUUAACUACAGAUUAACUUACAGUGGCAGCAUCUGCUCUGCUCAGUCACCCUGCAGGGGCUGGAGGCUGCGGCAUAAAGAAAGGCAUACGCUGUAGAUGAUGUAACGUGUGCGUGGUCCAGGGCAGGUGCUGUCGUGGUUCAGAUGUAGCCUCUUCUGUAGGAAUCCCGGGGAGAGUCCCGACUGCACCCCAUGUGCAACUGACUUAACCCUCAGUGCCUGUCUGUCUCCAUCCGAAUCAAGGAGAUGAUGGUGCCCUCCUCACAGAGGAGUGGGGAGGUGAGAGGAGUCAAUCUAUGUAAAGCCUACACAGCACCCGCACACGGCAAGUCCAAUAUAUGCUAGUCAUUAUCACCAUAAUUCAAGCAAAUUAUGUGUCUAUUAGGAGAGGCAUCAAGAGUCGGGAUCUCUGAGGUCUGGGGGAAAGAAGGUGGCACAUCCUGGGCAUGCCUUGAAAACAAAGAACAAUGAAACCUAAUUGAUUCAGACUGGUUGGAGCACACAUCUCCUGCUUUUGCCUGGAAAGAAUUGUUCUCUCUUUCUCUGAUAAAACUGCCCAGCUUCCCUUUGGUCCCUCCCCAUCCCUGGGGCUCUGGGCUGUUCCCUUCUCAUCGCCUGAGAGAAAGGCUGCCCUGGGUGUGGAGAGCGAGUCAGAGCUCUGAGGAGACGACUUGAACCUCUGCCUCCUGCUGUGGAGGGACGACUUGAACCUCUGCCUCCCGCUGUGGAGGGACGACUUGAACCUCUGCCUCCCGCUGUGGAGGGACGACUUGAACCUCUGCCUCCUGCUGUCGAGGGACGACUUGAACCUCUGCAGCCCUACAUGCCUGAAACUAGACACCCCAGACGCCCCGGACUUGGGACUUAACAGUUCUCUUUGUGCUUAACCUGUUCGAACUUGCUUCUCAUCUUUGCAACUAAAAGAGUCUUAAAAAUAAUAAAAAUAAUAGUCACUGUAAAUAAUAAUUGUAAAGGAUAAUAACAGUCAUAAAUGCCAUUUGAGUAUAUCCCUAACUUCUGGAUGUACCCCAAUUACAUAUUUUAUUUCUUACAGAAUGUUUUUGUCUGCUCACUGAUUACAGAACAAUAAUAAUAAUUAUUCCAUUCAUGUCUGAUCUCUCUGCCAGCCUGACAACAAUUAUUAGGUUAAGUAAUUUGUCCAAGGAAUAAGGAGCAGAGGUGGGAUCCACACU